GGGUUGUGAGGUUAAGCGACUAAGCGUACACGGUGGAUGCCCUGGCAGUCAGAGGCGAUGAAGGACGUGCUAAUCUGCGAUAAGCGUCGGUAAGGUGAUAUGAACCGUUAUAACCGGCGAUUUCCGAAUGGGGAAACCCAGUGUGAUUCGUCACACUAUCGUUAACUGAAUACAUAGGUUAACGAAGCGAACCGGGGGAACUGAAACAUCUAAGUACCCCGAGGAAAAGAAAUCAACCGAGAUUCCCCCAGUAGCGGCGAGCGAACGGGGAGGAG
rnacentral:rRNA from 1 species